rnacentral:rRNA from 1 species
CCUACGGGAGGCAGCAGUGGGGAAUAUUGCACAAUGGGGGAAACUCUGAUGCAGCGACGCCGCGUGAAUGAAGAAGUAUUUAGGUAUUUAAAGCUCUAUCUGCAGGGAAGAAAAUGACGGUACCUGACUAAGACGCCCCGGCUCACUACGUGCCCGCAGCCGCGGUACUACGUCGGGGGCCAGCGUUAUCCGGAUUUACUGGGUGUAAAGGGAGCGUAGGUGGCAUGGUAAGCCAUAAGUGAAAAACCGGAGGCCAACCCCGCGGAUUGCUUUGGGAACUAUCAGGCUGGAGUGCUGGAGGGGUAAGCGGAAUUCCUAGUGUAGCGGUGAAAUGCGUAGAUAUUAGGAGGAACACCGGUGGCGAAGGCGGCUUACUGGACAGAAACUGACACUGAGGCUCGAAAGCGUGGGGAGCAAACAGGAUUAGAUACCCUUGUAGUC